UAGGGAAUCUUCCACAAUGGACGCAAGUCUGAUGGAGCAACGCCGCGUGAGUGAAGAAGGUUUUCGGAUCGUAAAGCUCUGUUGUUGGUGAAGAAGGAUAGAGGCAGUAACUGGUCUUUAUUUGACGGUAAUCAACCAGAAAGUCACGGCUAACUACGUUCCAGCAGCCGCGGUAAUACGUAGGUGGCAAGCGUUGUCCGGAUUUAUUGGGCGUAAAGCGAGCGCAGGCGGAAUGAUAAGUCUGAUGUGAAAGCCCACGGCUCAACCGUGGAACUGCAUCGGAAACUGUCAUUCUUGAGUGCAGAAGAGGAGAGUGGAAUUCCAUGUGUAGCGGUGGAAUGCGUAGAUAUAUGGAAGAACACCAGUGGCGAAGGCGGCUCUCUGGUCUGCAACUGACGCUGAGGCUCGAAAGCAUGGGUAGCGAACAGG
rnacentral:rRNA from 1 species